GCAUAGCUUGUUUCUGUUCCGACAUUUUGAAGCUGCGUUUGACACUUCGAUUAGAAAGUGUUUACAAACAACUCACGCAGCAAUCUGCAGAAACGAGUAGAACAUAAUGAGUACCUUUACUGCAAAAGAACAAGGAAACAAGAGAUAUGUAGCAUAAUUUUAAACUACGUUCAAUACGGAAACAAUAUUUGUCAACAACGUUCUUUCAUACAGGUGCUGAAAACAUCUUUAUACAGCAUUCUUCGCACAGGAAUUUGCGUCUCACAACUUGCCUUCCAGUGAGUUUGGUGAAGGUUUUCGGUAUAUAUGCGGAGAAAUAAGAAAUGCUUGCAAUGUUUAAUGAGGUGAUAUUCUUUUCAAUGAAGCAUGUUCAAACCAGCUUUUUUGUUGUACAAUCCAACGAUCCGGCUGCUGUUCUUAUCAAAUAAUGCUUCAAUUAUCGCAGCGUUUGUUUUACGGCAGCUGAACAACACUUUUAAACUAGCUUAUAGAUUGCAAUGACCAACUCGCAGUGUAUAACUGGAACCAACCACAGAACCUUUCUCGCAUAAAGAUCGUCGUCUAAACAUGCUCAACAAUGGGAUACGGUGAUAGUCUAUGAAGCGCGGUGUGCAAACAACACACAACUCCCAGCCAACCGCUAGCGAUAUUGUUUUCAUUGUGUUUCCUGAAUGUUUGUGAUGAUGAUCACUCAAUGCUUAAUUCCACAACGUGCACAACGUGUCCUGAAGAUGCAGCUUGUCGGCUUGAGGAAGGAAUAUAUUUGGGGCCCGCGAAUAUAUUUGUAUCGUCAGCAUAAAGAAAGUGGUUUCCUGUAGUAAACACCC